UUGGGUUAAGUCCCGCAACGAGCGCAACCCUCGUUUUUAGUUCGCCAUCAUUAAGUUGGGCACUCUAGAGAGACUGCCGGUGACAAACCGGAGGAAGGUGAGGAUGACGUCAAGUCAGCAUGGCCCUUACGUCCUGGGCUACACACGUACUACAAUGCUACGGACAAAGGGCAGCAAGCCAGCGAUGGCAAGCAAAUCUCGUAAACCGUAGCUCAGUUCAGAUUGUAGGCUGCAACUCGCCUACAUGAAGUCGGAAUCGCUAGUAAUUGCAGGUCAGCAUACUGCAGUGAAUUCGUUCCCGGGCCUUGUACACACCGCCCGUCACACCAUGGGAGCUGGUUACGCCCGAAGUCGUUACUCUAACCGUUCGCGGAGGGGGACGCCGAAGGUAGAACUGGUGACUUGGGGUGAAGUCGUAACAAGGUAACCA
rnacentral:rRNA from 1 species